CAUUCUCAGACAUCGCUUCUUGAGAGUGUACUAACCAUCAACUAUCAUUUCACAAUGGAGAAGCUGGCUAUGACCAUGUGACUAAGCUCUCACUAAUGGAAGGUGAGCAGAAUUGAGGAGUGAUGGGCAUAACUUGUGUUCACUGCCAUAAAAGAAUGUCAUUCCACUUCCUCUCCUUCUUCCUCCCUAUAGGGUAGGCUGGAACUUGGAUGUGCAUUGGCAGGUCUGCAUUGGCAGACCAGAUGUCACCAUACAGACAACAAUAUCCUACAGGACAGAAAAGCUUGAAAGUAAAAGAAACUUUGGUGUUUGAAUAAACCACACAUUUGUCCUGGACAACCUGCCUAUCGUUGAACUGUUACAUGAGAGAAAAAGAGAUUUCUCUCUUAUUUGAACAAUUGCAUUUUCAAGUCUUUUUGUUACAGCAGCAUAACUGAUACCCUAACCCUGACAAAUACAUUUUUAAACAAAAGGAGGAAUGCUACUAUCGUACUCUAUGCUGGUCCAGUCUUACUUGGGGUGCAGUAUUCUCAUCUGUGAAUCACAUUUCAAGGGGCCUAAAGACAAAGUAGAAGUGUUCAGAUAACAGCAACAUGAUUGGUGAGAAAUUCAAAGUUGAAGAAACUGGAAGAGCAGAUUUAGAGUAAGUAGGAGUGCCACUUUCAAAUGUCUGAGGAACUGGCCUGUGAAAGAAUGAUUCACUUUGUUCUGUGUAGUUUCAGUAGAUAGAAGUAUGGUUCAACGGGAAAACUGAUUUUGCUGAAGAGAAAGAUUUCUGGCUGUCAGGUCUGCAUAGACAUUGGAGGCACUGAGUUCCCUGCUCAUGGAGAUAUUUUUCACAGAGCCUGGAUAAUCAUUUGGCUGGAUUUGUAACAACUGUGUAUCAUACAGCAUGAAAAUGCAUUUUCUAGCUUCCCUUGAAGUGAAAUGUGAGCAAAAAUGAUGCCAGCCACUCCCAGACCGGCCCAUAGAAACCUCCCAUAUUCUUUCUUCUUCUGCUGCUGGAUAUUGACACAGGGGAUGACUUUGAAAGCUGAGUAUUGAAGAUGGCAGAAGCUGUCUUUCAGCCUUGGUCCCUGAACAACAUGUUGAGCAGAUCCCGUGGUAAUCUGGAACUGCCCUGGACUGUAGGAAUCAACUUCUUUAUACAACAAUGGCAGAGAAGUUCUACAAUAUGGAGUCCUGUGAUAAAAGGUAAUGCCAAAAGUUUGUCCAAUGGUGACUUAUGGUUCAGUCCACUCAUUUUUGGUUUUUAGAUUCUUCAGUGUCCUUCUUUUAUCUGUUUCUAAAGUUACAAACUACCAGGAAAUUUCUCAUGGGAAAAAAAAAUCUGUAUCUUCGGAUUAUUUUACAAAUCGGAAGACUAGAACAUGUAUAUCAAAACCAGCUGGCGGCCCAGCACAGUGGCUCAUGCCUGUAAUACCAGCACUUUGGGAGGCCAAGGUGGGUGGAUCACCUGAGGUCAGGA
rnacentral:lncRNA from 1 species